rnacentral:piRNA from 1 species
UCAGGCCUUGCAUCUGAUUCUUUGCA